rnacentral:rRNA from 1 species
UACGUAGGGGGCAAGCGUUGUCCGGAUUCAUUGGGCGUAAAGAGCGUGUAGGCGGCCAGGUAGGUCGGUUGUGAAAACUGGAGGCUCAACCUUCAGAGGUCGACCGAAACCAUCUGGCUAGAGUCCGGGAGAGGAGAGUGGAAUUCCUGGUGUAGCGGUGAAAUUCGUAGAUAUUCGCAAGAACACCAGUGGCGAAGGCGGCUCACUGGCCCGGUACUGACGCUGAGGUGCGAAAGCGUGGGGAGCAAACAGG